rnacentral:rRNA from 1 species
AUUGAACGCUGGCGGCAUGCUUUACACACGCAAGUCGAACGGUAACAGGGAGCUUGCUCCGCUGACGAGUGGCGAACGGGUGAGUAAUGCGUCGGAACGUGCCGAGUAGUGGGGGAUAACGCAUCGAAAGGUGUGCUAAUACCGCAUACGAACUGAGGUUGAAAGUGGGGGACGUUCGGGCCUCACGCUAUUCGAGCGGCCGACGUCUGAUUAGCUAGUUGGUGAGGUAAAGGCUCACCAAGGCGACGAUCAGUAGCGGGUCUGAGAGGAUGAUCCGCCACACUGGGACUGAGACACGGCCCAGACUCCUACGGGAGGCAGCAGUGGGGAAUUUUGGACAAUGGGCGCAAGCCUGAUCCAGCCAUGCCGCGUGUCUGAAGAAGGCCUUCGGGUUGUAAAGGACUUUUGUCCGGGAGCAAAUGCUGGUGGCUAACAUCCACCGGAGCUGAGAGUACCGGAAGAAUAAGCACCGGCUAACUACGUGCCAGCCGCCGCGGUAAAAC